AUUGAACGCUGGCGGCAGGCCUAACACAUGCAAGUCGAGCGAGCGGCGGACGGGUGAGUAAUGUAUGGGAAACUGCCCGAUAGAGGGGGAUAACUCCUGGAAACGGUGGCUAAUACCGCAUACUAUCGGAUGACCCCAUAUGGGAUUAGCUAGUAGGUGGGGUAACUGCUCACCUAGGCGACGAUCUCUAGCUGGUCUGAGAGGGUGAGCCGCCAAACAGGGACUGGUACACGGCCCAGGCUCCUACGGGAGGCAGCAGUGGGGAAUAUUGCACAAUGGGCGCAAGCCUGAUGCAGCCAUGCCGCGUGUGUGAAGAAGGCCUUAGGGUUGUAAAGUACUUUCAGCGGGGAGGCGUUACCCGCAGAAGAAGCACCGGCUAACUCCGUGCCAGCAGCCGCGGUAAUAC
rnacentral:rRNA from 1 species